rnacentral:sRNA from 1 species
AAUGAGAUAUCGCAUACAUGUAGGAGAAAAAAUUGUUUAAUUAACUGUCAAAUUUUUAUGUAAUCAAUAGUGUACCUGAGAAGGAAUAUUUAACAGUGCUUCAUUUAUGUGUACAGACUUGUCCUUAAUGUUUGUUGAUGUUCUUUUAAUUUCUACCCCUCAUAUACAGGUGUUCGUUAUAAUGUGGUGUUCAACCAGUCCAAUUCUGCUUUGCAAGUGCUGAGUGAUUUCUUUGUUGAUUACAUAUAUAUACAUUCCUUACAACUGUUUGAUUUUUGCCAUAUGCCUUUUACUGGGAAAUAAAGUUUUUGUGAUUUU